rnacentral:rRNA from 1 species
GAUGAACGCUAGCGGCAGGCCUAAUACAUGCAAGUCGAACGGUGUCUUCGGACAUAGUGGCGCACGGGUGCGUAACACGUAUGCAACCUACCUUACAUUGGGGGACAGCCUUUCGAAAGGGAGAUUAAUACCGCAUAAGACAGUAGCUGGGCAUCCAGCAGCUGGUAAAGAUUUAUCGAUGUAAGCUGGGCAUGCGUCCAAUUAGCUAGUUGGUGAGGUAACGGCUCACCAAGGCAAUGAUUGGUAGGGGAACUGAGAGGUCAAUCCCCCACACUGGCACUGAGAUACGGGCCAGACUCCUACGGGAGGCAGCAGUAGGGAAUAUUGGGCAAUGGACGCAAGUCUGACCCAGCCAUGCCGCGUGCAGGAUGAAGGCGUUAUGCGUUGUAAGCUGCUUUUAUACAGGAAGAAACGACUCUUGCGAGAGGCAUUGACGGUACUGUAUGAAUAAGCACCGGCUAACUCCGUGCCAGCCGCCGCAGUAAAAC